rnacentral:rRNA from 1 species
GACAGAGGGUGCAAACGUUGUCCGGAUUUAUUGGGCGUAAAGAGCGUGUAGGCGGCUGGGUAGGUCCGUUGUGAAAACUCGAGGCUCAACCUCGAGACGCCGAUGGAAACCCUCCAGCUAGAGUCCGGAAGAGGAGAGUGGAAUUCCUGGUGUAGCGGUGAAAUGCGCAGAUAUCAGGAAGAACACCCGUGGCUAAGGCGGCUCUCUAGUACGGUACUGACGCUGAGACGCGAAAGCGUGGGGAGCGAACAGG